rnacentral:rRNA from 1 species
GAGGAAUAUUGGUCAAUGGACGGAAGUCUGAACCAGCCAAGUAGCGUGCAGGAUGACGGCCCUAUGGGUUGUAAACUGCUUUUGUAUGGGGAUAAAGUUAGGGACGUGUCCCUAUUUGCAGGUACCAUACGAAUAAGGACCGGCUAAUUCCGUGCCAGCAGCCGCGGUAAUACGGAAGGUCCAGGCGUUAUCCGGAUUUAUUGGGUUUAAAGGGAGCGUAGGCUGGAGAUUAAGUGUGUUGUGAAAUGUAGACGCUCAACGUCUGAAUUGCAGCGCAUACUGGUUUCCUUGAGUACGCACAACGUUGGCGGAAUUCGUCGUGUAGCGGUGAAAUGCUUAGAUAUGACGAAGAACUCCGAUUGCGAAGGCAGCUGACGGGAGCGCAACUGACGCUUAAGCUCGAAGGUGCGGGUAUCAAACAGGAUUAGAUACCCUGGUAGUCCGCACAGUAAACGAUGGAUGCCCGCUGUUGGUACCUGGUAUCAGCGGCUAAGCGAAAGCAUUAAGCAUCCCACUUGGGGAGUACGCCGGCAACGGUG